rnacentral:rRNA from 2 species
GUCGCACGAGUUCAGACUCGUGGCGAAUAGCUCAGUAACACGUGGCCAAACUACCCUUCGGAACACAAUACCCUCGGGAAACUGAGGCUAAUAGUGUAUACCGUACCACCACUGGAAUGAGUGGUACGCCAAACGCUCCGGCGCCGAAGGAUGUGGCUGCGGCCGAUUAGGUAGACGGUGGGGUAACGGCCCACCGUGCCAAUAAUCGGUAUGGGUCAUGAGAGUGAGAACCCAGAGACGGAAUCUGAGACAAGAUUCCGGGCCCUACGGGGCGCAGCAGGCGCGAAACCUUUACACUGCACGACAGUGCGAUAGGGGGAUCCCAAGUGCACAGGCAUAGCGCCUGUGCUUUUCGGUACCCUAAGGCGGUACCAGAAUAAGGGCUGGGCAAGACCGGUGCCAGCCGCCGCGGUAAUACCGGCAGCCCAAGUGAUGGCCGAUCUUAUUGGGCCUAAAGCGUCCGUAGCUGGCCGCGCAAGUCCAUCGGGAAAUCCACCUGCUCAACAGGUGGGCGCCCGGUAGAAACUGCGUGGCUUGGGACCGGAAGGCGCGACGGGUACGUCCGGGGUAGGAGUGAAAUCCCGUAAU